CGCGUAGGCGGGCUCGCAAGUCAGGGGUGAAAGCCCACGGCUCAACCGUGGAAGUGCCUUUGAUACUGCGGGCCUUGAGGGAGGUAGGGCGUGCGGAACUUCCGGUGGAGCGGUGAAAUGCGUAGAUAUCGGAAGGAACACCGGUGGCGAAAGCGGCGCGCUGGACCUCUACUGACGCUGAGGCGCGAAAGCCAGGGGAGGCAAACG
rnacentral:rRNA from 1 species